GACGAACGCUGGCGGCGUGCUUAACACAUGCAAGUCGAACGGAAAGGCCCUGCUUUUGUGGGGUGCUCGAGUGGCGAACGGGUGAGUAACACGUGAGUAACCUGCCCUUGACUUUGGGAUAACUUCAGGAAACUGGGGCUAAUACCGGAUAGGAGCUCCUGCUGCAUGGUGGGGGUUGGAAAGUUUCGGCGGUUGGGGAUGGACUCGCGGCUUAUCAGCUUGUUGGUGGGGUAGUGGCUUACCAAGGCUUUGACGGGUAGCCGGCCCGAGAGGGUGACCGGCCACAAUGGGACCGAGGUUACGGCCCAAACCCCUCGGGGGGGAAGAGGGGGGGAAUAUGGAAAAAGGGGCGAAAGCCUGAGCAAGAACGGCCGCGGGGGGGAUACCGGCCUUCGGGUUGAAACCCGUUUCCCCUUGUGAGGAGCCGUGGGUACGGGAAAGGGGUAAAGAAGAACCGCCUACUUACGU
rnacentral:rRNA from 1 species